rnacentral:rRNA from 1 species
GGAAUAUUGGUCAAUGGGCGAGAGCCUGAACCAGCCAAGUAGCGUGAAGGAAGACUGCCCUAUGGGUUGUAAACUUCUUUUAUAGGGGAAUAAAGUGCGUCACGUGUGGCGUUUUGUAUGUACCCUAUGAAUAAGCAUCGGCUAAUUCCGUGCCAGCAGCCGCGGUAAUACGUAGGUGGCAAGCGUUAUCCGGAUUUAUUGGGCGUAAAGCGAGCGCAGGCGGUUUGAUAAGUCUGAUGUGAAAGCCUUUGGCUUAACCAAAGAAGUGCAUCGGAAACUGUCAGACUUGAGUGCAGAAGAGGACAGUGGAACUCCAUGUGUAGCGGUGGAAUGCGUAGAUAUAUGGAAGAACACCAGUGGCGAAGGCGGCUGUCUGGUCUGCAACUGACGCUGAGGCUCGAAAGCAUGGGUAGCGAACA